rnacentral:rRNA from 1 species
UUCGGGUGGUUACCGUGGUGGCCAUCAGUACCCGAGGAAAAGAAAUCAACCGAGAUUCCCCCAGUAGCGGCGAGCGGACGGGGAGCAGCCCAGAGUCAGCAUCAAUAUUUACCGCAGGAGAAGGGUCUGGAAAGGCCGGCAAUAAAGGGUGAUAGCCCCGUAUCUGAAGCGGUAAGUGUUGUGAACUCGAAGAGUAGGGCGGGACACGUGUUAUCCUGUCUGAAUAUGGGGGGACCAUCCUCCAAGGCUAAAUACUCCUGACUGACCGAUAGUGAACCAGUACCGUGAGGGAAAGGCGAAAAGAACCCCGGCGAGGGGAGUGAAAUAGAACCUGAAACCGUGUACGUACAAGCAGUGGAAGCACCCGAAAGGGUGUGACUGCGUACCUUUUGUAUAAGGGGUCAGCGACUUAUAUUCUGUAGCAAGGUUAACCGCAUAGGGGAGACGUAGGGAAACCGAGUCUUAACUGGGCGUUAAGUUGUAGGGUAUAGACCCGAAACCCGGAAUCUAGCCAUGGGCAGGUUGAAGGUUGGGUAACACUAAGGGGAGGACCCA